UGGCUAAGGCAUGAUUGGCUCAGGCAUUGGUUAAUCCACGCGCUGUCUGCUUCCUGGUGGGAGACCUGGGUCUCCCCUAGUCAGGGGUUUGGGGGGCCAGGAUCUCCAGUGGUUCACCCUGCAGACUAAGAUGCUUGUUUCUCCACUCCUCCUCCCCGCCUCUACCGCUCAUUUGGAAUGACACCUGCAUUGGGGCAACACUGCUGCUCCCAUAUCUGUCGCAGGUAUUUCCCCUUAACGAAUGUCUUGCACGUUUAACUCUGGUUCACAGAAGAUCCAAAUUACCACAGAUGCUGGACAGACAGCUAACAAAUAUAUGGAGUCCAUCGAAAGUUCUAGAGUUCACCAAGUUCUGCAGCAAGUUCUUCAGCCACCGUGAAGUGCCUCCAGCCCUCAAGCCGUCAAUCAUUCUGCACAUAUUCUAGAAGAAGCCGUCCUUUAAGAUUGAGAAGCAUGCUCCUUUGAUUCCACAGCCUGGGAUCUUUUUAAAAUCGAUUUCAUAGCACAUUGCAAA